AACGAACGCUGGCGGCAUGCCUAACACAUGCAAGUCGAACGAGACCUUCGGGUCUAGUGGCGCACGGGUGCGUAACGCGUGGGAACCUGCCCUUAGGUUCGGAAUAACUCCCCGAAAGGGGUGCUAAUACCGGAUAAUGUCUUCGGACCAAAGAUUUAUCGCCUUUGGAUGGGCCCGCGUUGGAUUAGCUAGUUGGUAGGGUAAAAGCCUACCAAGGCGACGAUCCAUAGCUGGUCUGAGAGGAUGAUCAGCCACACUGGGACUGAGACACGGCCCAGACUCCUACGGGAGGCGGCAGUGGGGAAUAUUGGACAACGGGCGGAAGCCUGAUCCAGCAAGGCCGGGUGAGUGAUGAAGGCCUGAGGGUAGUAAAGCUCUUUUACCCGGGAUGAUAAUGACGGUACCGGGAGAAUAAGCUCCGGCUAACUCCGUG
rnacentral:rRNA from 1 species